UAGGGAAUUUUCGGCAAUGGGGGCAACCCUGACCGAGCGACGCCGCGUGAGUGAAGAAGGUCUUCGGAUCGUAAAGCUCUGUUGUAAGGGAAGAACCGUAUGAAGAGGGAAUGCUUCAUACCUGACGGUACCUUACCAGCAAGCCACGGCUAACUACGUGCCAGCAGCCGCGGUAAUACGUAGGUGGCAAGCGUUAUCCGGAAUUAUUGGGCGUAAAGGGAGCGCAGGCGGUUUAAUAAGUCUGAGGUUAAAGUUCGGGGCUCAACCCCGUGAUGCCUUAGAAACUGUUAGACUAGAGUGCAGGAGAGGUGAGUGGAAUUCCAUGUGUAGCGGUAAAAUGCGUAGAUAUAUGGAGGAACACCAGUGGCGAAGGCGGCUCACUGGCCUGUAACUGACGCUG
rnacentral:rRNA from 1 species